UUCCUGGAGGUCUAGUUGUUAAGACUCUGUGCUGCCAAUGCAGGGGAAGCAGGUUCAAUCCUGGUCAAGGAAC
rnacentral:tRNA from 1 species